GCCCGUCCGCAUUGCCCCGCCGCCGGGACUUGCCCCUGAACCCAGCUGCUGCCGCGGCUGGGGGCUUAGCUAAAGGGUGUUGAACUCUUUCCCUGUUAGUCUGACCGUGCGGCGCUCGCCGGCGUGACGCCCGCGUCUCCCCACAGACUAGAAGAGAACUUUUUUAUGUCUUCCCCGUGCCUUCCUCUCAGUCUCGCCCAACUGCUACAGCUGCCGUUCCAGCUCGCCUCGGGCCAUCACCAGCUGGGAGGACUUCGCUUGCUCCUCUCCAGCCGGCUGCUCCGGCCAGCCCUGAGCCCUGCUGCACUCGUGGCAUCUGUGGCUCUGCAGGUAACCCGUAUGACCUUGCACUGGCCCAGCCGAGAUGAGAUGCCCUUGCAAAAACACUGGGGAAGCUGGAGCUGCCCCUGCUGCAAACACGUUUAUAAGUGUCCUUGUCACCAUCACCCUGAAGGAGAAAAUAGCGGUUUUAAACCCAAACACGAGACAUUUGCCCCCACAAGCAAAUUUCGUGGCCCUGAAGUCUUCCAGGCCAACUGUUCUUAUUAAAAAGAAAUAGCUUGCAGACAUCCCUUGUUAGGACUUUGCAUUCCUAUUCAACUGAUGUCUUUUUUGUUUUUCCGUAGAACCCCUGACUCAGAAGUUUUGCUGCUUUAGGUUGCUGUAACUCCUCCUAGUUCCCCAGCCUUGUUGGUUACAUAGAAUCAAUCAUAGAAUGGUUUUGGUUGGAAAAGACCUUAGAGAUCCAUCUAGUCCAACCUCACUGCCACGAGCAGGGAUCCCUCUCAGCUGAGACUUGGUUGCUUAAGGCCUCAUCCAGCCGGGGCUUGAACACCACCAGGGAGAGGGCAUCCACAACCACUCUGGGCAACCUAUUCCACAGUCACACCACCCUUGUACUGACAAAUGUCUUCCUAAGAAAAAGUCUAAACCCUAAUCUCUCAUCUUAAAACC